CUGACCUCCUCCUUUUAGCCCUGGGAUUUUGCUAAAGUGGGGGUGCAGGGAGUGGGGCUGUAGAUGUAGAGGCUGGGCAGGUAUUUGAGAAACCAAAAGCUGAAAGGAGAGGAAGAAGGCUGCAGAGCCACUUCCAUUUCUCGCUCCUGUCCGCCUUCUCUAGGUGGCCUUGAGGAGGAAAGUGAGAGUACAAAGGACAGCCUGGGCCUCUCGGCUGGACUUGACAUUUGUGGUCCUUGUCGGGUUCCUUCCAGUCUGUUUCGGGGGAUGUGAGGGGCCCUCUGAUGUUCUCGUCUGCCUCUUUAUUCUUCUCUCCUCUUACCUGUCUCACCUCACUUAAUUGCCUGGUUCUUGUGUUUCUCUUCACCUCUUCAUUCAUAUAGACCGAGACCCCUCCCUUACAACCAUCUACAUCUCUUAUGUCUCAAUUUACUUUGCUCCAGAUAACACUGUUUUCUUACCUGAUUAUCACCUGGCCCUAUAAACUUAGCUAAUUUUCAACUCUUUCCGAUUGUCCUUGUACAUUUUCCCUCUCGUAGCUCUUCUCUGUCUUCCCCCCAGUCUUUCUGAAUUCAAUUGUCCUUUGCACACACGGGCCCAGAUACGGGGUUCCUUGUCCUCAGCGCCUCACCCCUAGGUUCAGAAUCUUUAGAUAAUUUUUUGAGAACCCUAAGAUUCAGAAAGAGACGGGCUGGCCUGUCAGUCUGAGGCCCGAACGGUGGAUGAAGAAGAAGGCUGGGCUUUGGGAAAAGAUUGUCUUUGGGGUGUGUGUGUGUGUGUGUGUGUGUGUGUGUGUGUGUGUGUGUGUGUGAUCUGUCAUUAUUACCCCUCACCUUUUCCUAAUCAUUUUUAUUUCCUUAAUAAAAAACAUCACCUUUAGCCAGAUGACCUAUUCAGCACUUGGGAAGCUGAGGCAGGAGGAUUGCCAUUAGUUUGAGGGCAUCCUGAGCAAUACAUCUUGCCCCUUCCCGACCCCCCCCCCCAAUUAGAAAAAAAGGGAAGCCAUUGUUGGUCUUCCAUCAUCAUUUAGCAUGUGAGCGUGUCAACACACCAUCGUUUGAUCUCUCAUACACAUCUCCUGGUUUCUCUGACUCUUAAUUCAGUUUCUUCGUCUCAUAAAUCUUUGCGCCCCACCCUGGUUUUUCCUGGCAGGGUUCGGUCCACCUUUUCUCUGAGAUCUCUCCAUUUCCCCUUUUCAAUGCGCUUCUCAGACUUCAGUGACUGAUGUCUAUAGCAAUCUCUCACCAUAUUCCAUCUCUGUACCCUUUCUUGCUUCAUUUAUCUCCCCUCCCUCACCCCAUAACGCCCCCCCCCCCCCAAGCCUCGCUCCCUUUGGGUUGGUCUCUUUCCUCUCCCUCCCGCCUUCUUUUUUCUCUGCCUUCUCUACUCCACCUCCCAGCCCCGCCUGCUGUCUCGGACACCCUGCUGGGCUCUUACCCUGUUGCCCUGGUAACCGCCCUCAACUCCGGUCACCUCCACUCCCCUCCCCCCUCCAAUCACCGCCACCAACAACCUCCAUCCACCUUCCUCCUGUUUUUCCCGAGAGCCAAUAGAAACCCUGUUGCCAGGUGGAAUGCUCAUUUGAAUCAGCCAAUCCAAGAUUCUAACUGUUUGCCCUGCCUUAUAAGGGGAUGUGAAGAGGGCCACUCCCCCCACUCCCGCCCCACAGGGGACGAGCCCCACCACUGUCUUUUCACUCUGGCCUAGGAAGGAGAUUGAGACCCUCUCAUAAAGGGGGCUUACCCUCUCAUAAAGGGCCUAUCUUCCCAUUUCUUUAGAUGGGACCACCAGGGUUGCAGUGAGAAGUACUCUUGAGGUUUUGUGGAGGCCUGCCUAUUCCUAGAAUUCUAUUACUCUACCAUGCAGUUGAGACAUUUCCCACGAGUUGAGUGGGGAAAAAAAAAAAAAAAAAA